AUGCCUCUGGACCUUUCAUCAGAGGGCAAUGAGACGAAAUCCCAGGUGUGCCACUGCUGCUAUGUCCUAGAGCUCAACCACCACCUUCCAGAGAAAGGUUCAUGCAGACUGUGGAACACACCCAGGGUAUGGGGAGAGGGUCUCUGGGACCCCUGGUGUUGGCCAAGACUGGAGGGCAGUGGGAGGACGAGUGGCUGGGUGCCAGUGCAGCCAUGCUAUGUCUCUCUAUGACGCUAGGCCAUCCACAUGCACCACGGGCCACAAAUUAGACACACCCUAUCUUUAAUGGUGCCCAGUUUUGCAUCACUCAUUGUACUCCUGGUUAGGAGAAAAUGUCAAUCUCAGGGCACUUAUUGUAAAGCAAAACAAUGUGACAUGUACUUUUGGGAGAUAUGGAAGUCUGAAUUGAAUCAGUGAAAUAGAAAUUGGUGUCAUUGAGCACUGCAGGAAAGGACAGAACUGCAAGAGCAGCAAUAUUUAAGUCAAGCUUCGUGUGGACACCUCCAAGAACAGCUGCCAUCAAUAUAACUGUCUGCAUCUGCAUCAUUUCCAAUCGCCAUAAAAAAAGAUUAUGUCAACAUAUAUAUUUUUAUAUAUUUUCCUUUAUUAUUUUACCUUAACCCUACUACCCCUCCCCCGACUGGAGUAAACGAAUGGACAUCUGCACCUAGGCUUCUACUUGCAGCUUAUACAUACUAUAUACACUUUAUAGACACAGUAUAGUUUACAAUGGUUAUCUUUCGUUUGUAUUUAGUCUCAUCCUUCAGCUACCCUCAACCUCUCCCAUCUAUCUCUGAAGACCAUCCAGUUUUGAUUUCUAUUUGCUAUAUAUAUUUAAACUGUACUGUUUCACAAAAGUUCUGGACCUCCAUACAUUUUACAGACAGUAUAUUUUAAAUGAUUUAUGUUCUUUCUAGUUCCACCCUUCAGCUCCACUCAACCUCUCCCAUCUAUCUCUGAACACCAUCCAGUUUCGAUUUCUAUUUAACAUAUCUUUUUCAACUGUGCUGUUUCACAAAAGUUCUGAACCUUUCUUUUCUCAUAUUUUAUUUUAAAAUCACCCAGCUGUGCUAUUCGCAGAGUUAGCUCCAGAUAAGUGUUGCAAUUCUUCAGCCAUUCCUGAACCUGCGACCAAAAACAAGCUACAUGUGGACAGUAUCAAAACAAAUGAUCUAACGUUUGUCUCUUCGCAGGCAAAACCUGCAAUAAAAUACAAAUCUUUGUCCUUCACUUAUUUAGCAUUGUUACGUGACAUUUAUGCGGUAUAAGAGUGUUGUUUUAUCUCUGAUGACUGGUUUGGAUGGACCGGGGCAAUGGCUGAGUGAUGCUGGUGUUCGACUGACCUCUGGUUGUUCUUGUUGAUGGUGGACUGAAAAGCAGGUGGGCCACAGUGUUGGGCCCCAGCGUAGCCAUGAGAGCAAUCCUGUGAUCGGACACCUUGGCCUUCUGCCACACCACCACCUGCAACAACACGCAGCAGCUUAUUUUCAGUCCGCCUAAAAAAAGACCACCUGCCGGAUCUCGCAGCAGACCCUGAUGACCAAUCAAAGCCUCUUCUCUAGCACUUCCCGUACCUGUGUGGAUCGCUCGGAGAGAGGUUCAACAAUAGUCCUACUUGCACGGGACUUGCAUUACUAUAGAACGUAGGUUAUGUAAUUAUUAACCCCCAGUAUGUCUGUUUUUCCCCAGAGGAUGAUUCGGACGGGAUUCGUUUUCACCAAACCGCCCCCUGUAAUUAUUUUUUCCCCCAUUAUGACAGAAGCCUGGAGGCUGUUCUAGGAUAUUUCAACUUGUCUAAGGAUAGCCUAAUAAUGGCUUUCAGUUGGGAGAAUGUCAAAAUAACAUCAAUAAGAACCGUGAACUAACUGCGUGCAGACAUUUAAUUAACUGACGUUUUUGGCAAUUUAUCAAUUCAUUGGCACAAUAUCAUCCGCUUCAUCUUUAAAAAGAGUAAAAAGCUGAUGAGACAAAACAGAUCAUUCAUCUGUAGGGUACGUGCAUAGCAUUACAUUUUAAGCAUCCAUUUGUUCCCAUGUUCUAACCCAAACUGCAAGCAGCACCUGCUAAACACAGUAAUACCCCUAAGUAUUAUCAGAGGACCUUGGAGUCUGCAUGCCAAAAAAAACAGUAGGUUAUUCUGGCUGGAAUUAUCACUCUCCCAUCACGUGAAAAUGAUUGACAUGGCAUAUUCGCACGGGUGUGGUGUUUGUGCUGUGCACAUGAUUACAUUACCCGACCUCCCCCAGUAAAACUAAUCCUGUCCGAACAGGGCUCAUCUGUUCUAAAAAGGCCUAAACCAGACCAGAGGGGUUUGGGGAUGACUAGAGAACAAGCUACUGUGUGCUGAUGCCUAUGUCAGGUCACAAACUGUGAGAGCAGUUCGACUGAAUAAACGGACCGUACUUCACACCAUUCCCAAAUCAGCAUGUUGUCUGAACAUAUUAUUCAACCCACUGGAUCAAUGUACACUACAUAAUGAAAGCAGAUACACAGUGACCACAAGGUUACACAAUCUUCCUCAUCUCUGUGCAACCUCCACCGAGCCUUGGAAUCCUCUACUUUUCCUUCAUGUCCGAUAUAUGUGAGAGAAAAUUAGUCCAACACUAAAUGAGAACACAUAUUUUCACACCCACGGGUGGGCUUGUCGUUGACGUGUCCACCAGCGAGUAUAUCUCCUGGGUGUUGAUUUCUGAAAGUAUGCUGUCCGCAGCAGCACACGUCUCCGCUAUGAAAUAUGCAAUUUGGUGACUGUAAACGGAUCACACCCGUAAACAGCACUUGGAGAAGCCAUGAAACCCAACACAGGCCGAAGUGCAAAGUUCGGGAUACAGAUAUGCCUCCCAUAUGCUGAUGCCAUGAAAUGGGGGCACGCUCCUCCCUUGAUGAUGUCAGAGUGAUUUCAGUGAAAAGUAUACAGUGGUGUUAU
rnacentral:lncRNA from 13 species